rnacentral:lncRNA from 1 species
GGAGAAUAAAGGAGAAGAGGGAAAGAGCCGGGCUAUGAGCUCACAGUGAGGAAGAGGGGAAUUUAUGGAGAUGCUGAGGUCUCUCGCUGCCUUGAGGUCUGAGCUUCUUCUAGCAAGAAGGAGGCACCGCAACACCCAGAGCUGGUUCUUUCCCUGUCUGCCUGCCAACUGGCCCCCAG